GUAAAUUAUGGGAAUGAAAGCAACUGUGCUUUUGAGGACAGCAUUGUGCUAUGCUAGUUCAGUGAAGUGUUGCUAAAAGUGUCCCCUGCCUGUCACACUCUGACGCACAUCCAGCAGUUUGUCAAAUCCAGCUCUAGUAGGAUGAAUCUCUUAGGAACGCAUUCUUCAUCCCAUCUCUCUGCAGAAUUCACAGGUUUCUUCAGGAGACAGCUGCACUUCCACAUUCAGAGCACUCCUUCCCUCUUUUGUGGCUUCCUGGCAUAAGUGGCCACAGCAAACCACCGUUGGAGAUCCAGGAGUAAUUCUUCACCACAGGCCUAACGGAAAAAGAACUGAGCUUAGUGAUGUCUCACUGCACAGACACAGCAUUUAUCAUGAUGGAAAAGUGUAUACCAUGGAUACAAUCAGAUUUGCUCUGGCCUGUUUCCCAUUCUACAUGCACAGCACUUUGAUCCAUGUUAUAAUGCAGCCUGGAUGGUACUGCUUGGGCAAGAUUUCUUAUACACUUCAACAUUAGAAAAAAGGACAAGCUUCUUAAGAUCUUGGAGCUAUGAGCAACAGCUGGUUUUGUUCUUGUUUCUGCAGCAUUUUCCACAAUUUCCACCAAGAUGGUGAUUUAUAGAAAGACCCGUGUAUUUGUUGAACUCUGGGUUAUUUCAAUUAUGUAGACUCUAGUCAAUAAUCACCAAUUACCUAGCCAAAGUGUGAGAAAUGGUAUUCACUGGCAGAGGCACAAGSUUUUACAAGUGCAUCUGGAGCUGAUAAAAGUAUAAAAAGAUGGUACAUGGAAAUAUAAUACUGUUGGGAACUUUAGCAAUGUAAAGUUUGCAGUUGCUUCGUAUGUUUGUAUGUGAAGGAUAUGGAUUACUUUACGGACAAGGUUCCAAUCUCAGACUUACCCAUGUGAAUCCAGAAUAAUUUUCCUGAGCAUAGCUGGUUCUACAUUCUGGCUCUCUGUUAAUUUGACUAGAGUUAUAAAAUACUUAUGCAUACGAGACUGUGGCUUUUCAUUACAAUUAUACC
rnacentral:lncRNA from 1 species